CCUACGGGAGGCAGCAGUGGGGGAUAUUGCACAAUGGGGGGAACCCUGAUGCAGCGACGCCGCGUGGGUGAAGAAGCGCCUCGGCGCGUAAAGUCCUGUCAGCAGGGAAGAAAAUGACGGUACCUGAAGCAGAAGCCCCGGCUAACUACGUGCCAGCAGCCGCGGUAAUACGUAGGGGGCAAGCGUUAUCCGGAUUUACUGGGUGUAAAGGGGGCGCAGACGGCGAGGCAAGCCAGUAGUGAAAGCCCGGGGCCCAACCCCGGGACUGCUCUUGGAACUGCGUGGCUGGAGUGCAGGAGGGGCAGGCGGAAUUCCUGGUGUAGCGGUGAAAUGCGUAGAUAUCAGGAGGAACACCGGUUGCGAAGGCGGCCUGCUGGACUGCAACUGACGUUGAGGCCCGAAAGCGUGGGGAGCAAACAGGAUUAGAUACCCUAGUAGUC
rnacentral:rRNA from 1 species